rnacentral:rRNA from 1 species
AACGAACGCUGGCGGCAUGCCUAACACAUGCAAGUCGAACGAGACCUUCGGGUCUAGUGGCGCACGGGUGCGUAACGCGUGGGAACCUGCCCUUAGGUUCGGAAUAGCUCCCCGAAAGGGGUGCUAAUACCGGAUAAUGUCUUCGGACCAAAGAUUUUUCGCCUUUGGAUGGGCCCGCGUUGGAUUAGCUAGUUGGUAGGGUAAAAGCCUACCAAGGCGACGAUCCAUAGCUGGUCUGAGAGGAUGAUCAGCCACACUGGGACUGAGACACGGCCCAGACUCCUACGGGAGGCAGCAGUGGGGAAUAUUGGACAAUGGGCGAAAGCCUGAUCCAGCAAUGCCGCGUGAGUGAUGAAGGCCUUAGGGUUGUAAAGCUCUUUUACCCGGGAUGAUAAUGACAGUACCGGGAGAAUAAGCUCCGGCUAACUCCGUG